GAUGAAGAACGCAGCGAAAUGCGAUACUUGGUGUGAAUUGCAGAAUCCCGUGAACCAUCGAGUCUUUGAACGCAAGUUGCGCCCGAAGCCAUUAGGCCGAGGGCACGCCUGCCUGGGCGCCACACGUCGUUGCCCCCCCCAUCUACUCCUUCGGGAUUGCGGGGGGCGGAUGAUGGCCUCCCGUGCGCCUCGCCGCGCGGUUGGCAUAAAUGCCAAGUCCUCGGCGACGCACGCCACGACAAUCGGUGGUUGCGAAACCUCGGUUGCCCGUCGUGUGCGGUCGUCGCGCAUCGAGGGCUCGAAAAAAUUGCCGAGUUCCGGCUCGGCUUUCAACGCGACCCCAGGUCAGGCGGGGUUACCCGCUGAAUUUAAGCAUAUCAAUAAGCGGAGGA
rnacentral:misc_RNA from 1 species